rnacentral:tRNA from 1 species
UCCCCUGUAGCUCAACGGUAGAGCAACAUCCUGUUAAGAUGAAGGUUCGUGGUUCGAAUCCACGCGGGGGAGCUA